rnacentral:rRNA from 1 species
UACGUAGGGUGCGAGCGUUGUCCGGAAUUACUGGGCGUAAAGAGCUCGUAGGUGGUUUGUCGCGUUGUUCGUGAAAACUCACAGCUCAACUGUGGGCGUGCGGGCGAUACGGGCAGACUAGAGUACUGCAGGGGAGACUGGAAAUUCCUGGUGUAGCGGUGGAAUGCGCAGAUAUCAGGAGGAACACCGGUGGCGAAGGCGGGUCUCUGGGCAGUAACUGACGCUGGAGGCACGAAGGCCAGGGGAGCAAACGGG